UACAGAGGGUGCGAGCGUUACUCGGAAUUACUGGGCGUAAAGCGUGCGUAGACGGUUAUUUAAGUCGGAUGUGAAAGCCCCGGGCUCAACCUGGGAAUUGCAUUCGAGACUGGAUAGCUAGAGUUCGGCAGAGGGAAGCGGAAUUUCGGGUGUAGCGGUGAAAUGCGUAGAUAUCCGAAGGAACAUCAGUGGCGAAAGCGGCUUCCUGGACCAGAACUGACGAUCAGGCACGAAAGCGUGGGGAGCAAACAGG
rnacentral:rRNA from 1 species